AUUGAACGCUGGCGGCUGGCUUAACACAUGCAAGUCGAGCGGGGGAAGGUAGCUUGCUACCGGACCUAGCGGCGGACGGGUGAGUAAUGCUUAGGAAUCUGCCUAUCAGUGGGGGACAACAUCUCGAAAGGGAUGCUAAUACCGCAUACGUCCUACGGGAGAAAGCAGGGGAUCUUCGGACCUUGCGCUAAUAGAUGAGCCUAAGUCGGAUUAGCUAGUUGGUGGGGUAAAGGCCUACCAAGGCGACGAUCUGUAGCGGGUCUGAGAGGAUGAUCCGCCACACUGGGACUGCGACCCGGCCCAGACUCCUACGGGAGGCAGCAGUGGGGAAUAUUGGACAAUGGGGGGAACCCUGAUCCAGCCAUGCCGCGUGUGUGAAGAAGGCCUUAUGGUUGUAAAGCACUUUAAGCGAGGAGGAGGCUACUUUAGUUAAUAUCUAGAGAUAGUGGACGUUACUCGCAGAAUAAGCACCGGCUAACUCUGUGCCAGCCGCCGCAGUAA
rnacentral:rRNA from 1 species